AGGAUUCCCCUAGUAACUGCGAGUGAAGCGGGAAAAGCUCAAAUUUAAAAUCUGGCGGUCCUUGGCCGUCCGAGUUGUAAUUUAGAGAAGCGCCUUCCGCGCCGGUCCGUGCACAAGUCUCCUGGAAUGGAGCGUCGUAGAGGGUGAGAAUCCCGUCUUUGGCACGGACUCCCGGUGCUCUGUGAUGCGCUCUCGAAGAGUCGAGUUGUUUGGGAAUGCAGCUCAAAAUGGGUGGUGAACUCCAUCUAAAGCUAAAUAUUGGCGAGAGACCGAUAGCGAACAAGUACCGUGAGGGAAAGAUGAAAAGCACUUUGGAAAGAGAGUGAAACAGUACGUGAAAUUGUUGAAAGGGAAACGCUUGAAGUCAGUCGCGUCGACCGAGACUCAGCCUCGCCUUGGCUUGGUGUACUUCUCGGCCCGACGGGUCAGCGUCGAUUUUGCCCCUCGGACGAUGGCAAGGGAAAGGUGGCACCCUUCGGGGUGUGUUAUAGUCUCCUGUCGCACGCGAGGGGUGGGAUCGAGGAACUCAGCGCGCGCCUUUUGGUGUCGGGGCUUUGGCCCACGACACGCGCU
rnacentral:rRNA from 1 species